CCUACGGGUGGCAGCAGUGGGGGAUAUUGCACAAUGGGGGAAACCCUGAUGCAGCGACGCCGCGUGUGGGAAGACGGUCCUCUGGAUUGUAAACCACUGUCCCCAGGGACGAAAGUGACGGUACCUGGGGAGGAAGCUCCGGCUAACUACGUGCCAGCAGCCGCGGUAAUACGUAGGGAGCGAGCGUUGUCCGUAAUUACUGGGUUAAAAGGGAGAGUAGGCGGGGAGGAAAGUAGGGUGUCAAAAAUACCGGCUCAACUGGUAGUCGCACUCAAAACUGCAGCUCUUGAGUGAAGUAGAGGCAGGCGGAAUUCCUAGUGUAGCGGUGAAAUGCGUAGAUAUUAGGAGGAACACCAGUGGCGAAGGCGGCCUGCUGGGCUUUCACUGACGCUGAGGCUCGAAAGUGUGGGGAGCAAACAGGAUUAGAUACCCUUGUAGUC
rnacentral:rRNA from 1 species